GCGGACGUGGUGGAACUGGCAGACACGCAAGAUUUAGGUUCUUGUGCUUAGGCGUGAAGGUUCGAGUCCUUUCGUCCGCACCA
rnacentral:tRNA from 1 species